rnacentral:rRNA from 1 species
GACGAACGCUGGCGGCGUGGAUUAGGCAUGCAAGUCGAACGGUAGGAUACCUUCGGGUAUCUGAGAGUGGCGAACGGGUGAGUAACACGUAGGUGAUCUACCCUCAAGAUUGGGACAACCCAGGGAAACUUGGGCUAAUACCGGAUGAAAGCAGCAGUGAUGUUGUUUGAAAGGUGGCGUAAGCUGCCGUUUGGGGAUGAGCCUGCGCUCUAUUAGUUAGUUGGCGGGGUAAAGGCCCACCAAGGCGAUGAUAGAUAGGCGGCCUUAACGGGUGGUCGCCCACACUGGGAUUGAGAUACGGCCCAGACUCCUACGGGAGGCAGCAGUCGAGAAUAGUCUACAAUGGCCGAAAGGCUGAUAGUGCGACGCCGCGUGAACGAAGAAGCCCUUCGGGUGUAAAGUUCUUUUAUAUGUGAGCAGUGCUUUCUAUGUGAACAGCAUGGGGAGAGAGAUAUUAGCAUAUGAAUAAGCAACGGCUAACUCCGUGCCAGCAGCCG